rnacentral:rRNA from 1 species
CCUACGGGGGGCAGCAGUGAGGAAUAUUGGUCAAUGGGCGCAAGCCUGAACCAGCCAAGUCGCGUGAGGGAUGACGGUCCUAUGGAUUGUAAACCUCUUUUGUCGGGGCGCAAGGCCCGCCACGUGUGGCGGGAAGGAGAGUACCCGAAGAAAAAGCAUCGGCUAACUCCGUGCCAGCAGCCGCGGUAAUACGGAGGAUGCGAGCGUUAUCCGGAUUUAUUGGGUUAAAAGGGUGCGUAGGCGGAUCGUUAAGUCAGUGGUCAAAUUGAGGGGCUCAACCCCUUCCCGCCAUUGAAACUGGCGCUCUUGAGUGGAAGAGAAGUAUGCGGAAUGCGUGGUGUAGCGGUGAAAUGCAUAGAUAUCACGCAGAACCCCGAUUGCGAAGGCAGCAUACCGGCUUCCGACUGACGCUGAAGCACGAAAGCGUGGAGAUCGAACAGGAUUAGAUACCCGGGUAGUC